UACAGAGGUCUCAAGCGUUGUUCGGAUUCAUUGGGCGUAAAGGGUGCGUAGGCGGCGCGGUAAGUCGGGUGUGAAAUCUCGGAGCUUAACUCCGAAACUGCAUUCGAUACUGCCGUGCUUGAGGACUGGAGAGGAGACUGGAAUUUACGGUGUAGCGGUGAAAUGCGUAGAUAUCAGGAAGAACACCGACGGCGAAGGCAGCUCGCUGGGACGGUACUGACGCUGAGGCGCGAAAGCGUGGGGAGCGAACAGG
rnacentral:rRNA from 1 species